UGUGGGAGCGAGCCUGCUCGCGAAUGCGCAGUGUCAGCCUCCAUUGAGUUGACUGAUACACCGCUUUCGCGAGCAGGCUCGCUCCCACA
rnacentral:antisense_RNA from 1 species